GUACUCACUGCGACUCUACAUAUACUAAAGUUGGCUGGAACGAUACAGAGAAGAUUAGCAUUUCUCCUACGCAACGAUAAAAAAGCGAGAGGUCACAGGAUCUAAUUAUAU